UUUUUAAAGUGAUAUCCCAUUUGCAUAAUUCCCUAAAUUGUUAGUGUGAUAAUGAUUCAGACUUAAUGUACUGAGUUCCUAUUUUGCUGGUUUCACAGUGCAUGCUACUGUAUUGCACAUACAAAUCAAAUUUAAUUAAGAUUAGAUUUCGAAUUAGUAUUUAUAUUUUUUUAAUUAGAAGGUGAAUUUCCCACUUAGUUUGAUAUUUGUAUUGUGAUAUUCUAUAUAUAGAGAGAGGUUCUUUAGUUUUGUGUGUAGAUGUUUGAGAGCAAAGAAAAAAAGCCAUUAGUAAGAUUGUUAAGAAUGAAUAUGUUAUGGAACAGUUUUAGGAUGCCAGGAUUUAACUAGUAAUUGUCAAACAAACAAUUUGGUUGAUGAAGCAAAAUAUGCGAAGGUGGAGCAGUAGCCUUGCAAUGAAUGGAGAAAAUUAACUUGUUAAUGAAAUUUAGGAAGUUGCAAAUUUCACUUUUAGAAAAGUAUAAAAAACUUGAUAUUUUUAUUUUUGGUGAUAGUUUCUUUAUUAAAAUGAGUGGUAAAAAAAAAAAAAAAAAG
rnacentral:misc_RNA from 1 species